UGGGAAAUUGGUCGAAUCACCCGAUGUUUCCAAUACCUCCAAUAUUUCCCAUGCGAUACCCAAUACGUUUUCAUAUCCUAAGAGUGUGAUGUGUUCGUCAAUGCCAAUAUUGAAAACAUUACCUCCAUCCACAUCCUUUGGGCCUUCUCCUUACCCUUUUAGAGCCUUCACCAGUCUUCGUCUUGUACCACCCACUCCUAACUGGCACAAUUCUUGGUUUUAGUUGCCCAUGACCUAACCAUCUAAGUCUAUUUUCCCUCAUCUUAUUACAUAUUGGUGCUACUCCUAAGUUCUCUCAAAUGUAUUCAUUUCUAAUAUGAACGCGCCAUUCCUUAACUGCCCAACAUUUUAUCCAAUAAAGCAUGGGUGGUCUUAUAACUAUCCUAUAAAAUUUCCCUUUCAGUUUGAGUUGAACAUGACGAACACGUAAAGUUCCAAAGACACAUCUUGAUUUCUUCCACCCAACUUGAAUUGUAUGGGCAACAUCCUUGUCAAUCUUUCCACUUUCAUGAAUUAUUGACCCAAGCUAUCGAAAGUGAUCCUUUUGGGAAACUUCUUGGUCAACAAUCUUUGCGAGAUGAUUCUCCCGAAUACUUGUCUAAUGUCUUAUCAAAAUGAGGAAUCAGUGGAUCAUUUAGUUAUCCAUUGUUCAUUCGCAAGGAAGUAUUGGAAGGUUUUUUUCGAGCUAUUCGGUAUAGAUGGGUAUUGCCAUGUUCCAUUGCUCAAUUCUUCUUGUAGCAUGGUGUUGAUUUUGGAAAGAGACAAAAAAAGGAAUAAUUGUAGCUUUAGGAAUUGGGCAGGGCGAGCUUUUGAGGGUUUUAGUAGGGCUAAAAUGAAUGUGAGGUAAUGGGCUAUAGCCUCCAAGGCAGUAGUUCAUUUUCCGGAUAGUUAGCUUGAGUUGUAUCUUUUCUUUGGUUUGUGUAUAUUCAUAAUGUUUUGCUUCCGCUGUUGUUAAUAAAAUUUUGCCAAAGUUUUUUUUUUUU